GCCUGGGUGGCGGAACUGGUAGACGCAAGGGACUUAAAAUCCCUCAUAACCUGGUUAUGUGAGGGUUCGAUUCCCUCCCUAGGCACCA
rnacentral:tRNA from 1 species